rnacentral:tRNA from 1 species
GGGGCCGUAGUCUAGUACGGCAUGACGACAGUUAGGCUCUUCACGGAGCCUAGCCGCUAAGGGCUCCAGAAGGUAAAAGACGGGUUUGCGACCCGUAGGUCGUCGGUUCAAAUCCGGCCGGCCCCACCA